AGAACGUACCUUUUGCAUAAUGGGUCACCAAGUUAAUAUUAGAUGCAAGUAUAAGCGUAGAUAAACCGAUUGAUAAAAUAAAGUGUAGUAUCUAAUAUUAGACCCGAAGCCUAGUGAUUUUACCAUAAUCAGGAUUAUAAAGGUCCGAACGGCAUAUCGUAGCAAAGAUACCCGAAGAAUUAUGGUAGGUAAGUGAAA
rnacentral:rRNA from 1 species